GAAUUGAGUUUUGAUCAUGGCAAUGAAAGCUUUGAUAAAAGGAAAGGCAUUGAUCUUGGACCCCAUAAGGUGAGUCCAAGUAGCUCUAGUAAAGUCAUCAACUAUUGUUAGGAAAUAUUUACAUCCAUUAUGAGUGAGAGUGGCAUAAGGACCCCAGGUAACCACAUGAAUGAGUUAAAAGGCAUGUGUUGUCUUAAUGGAACUGUCAUGAAAAGGCAACCUAGAUUGCCUGGCUAAUGGGCAAACAGUACAUAUGAAAGGUUGUUUAGUUGAAAAUUUGCAUGGUAUAUGAAGGAAGUCUAGAUUUCCUGGCUAAUGGGCAAACAAUACAUAUGGAAGGCUGUUUAUUUGCAAACUUGCAUGGAAUAUGAGGAAUGUCUUUCAUUCUAACAAAAGGUAUGUGUCCUAGUCUAUUAUGCCAUAACAUCUCCAUUUUAUUCAAUU
rnacentral:lncRNA from 1 species